GUAUGUAAGUCAUUAAAAUCAUUACAUCAGUCAAGCAUUUGAAGAAGAGAUUUUAAGUUUCUGCCUUUGUUUUAAAUAUAGCCAGGUCAUUUAAUUCUAUACUUCUUUCCACUGACUGCAAGACAACACUCUAAGAGUGAACUAAAAUGACAUUUUAGUGCUGGGAUUACAGGUGCCGAUUUUACACCUGCUUCAGCCAUACUAUGCCCUCUGCCAUGUUAUAAUACAGCACGAAGCUCUCAUGAGUUCUGUCCACUUGGGAUUCGACUUUCCAGCCCUAAAACUGUGAGACAAAAUAAGCCUUUUUUCCUUGUAAAGUCCCCAACCUUGAGUAUUUCAUCAUAGCAGCUCACAGCGAACUGAGACAGACCAGACAAGUAAAAAAUGGAAGAAGCCAAUGACUUCGGCCU
rnacentral:lncRNA from 1 species